rnacentral:rRNA from 1 species
GACGAACGCUGGCGGCGUGCUUAACACAUGCAAGUCGAACGGAAAGGCCCUGCUUUUGUUGGGUGCUCGAGUGGCGAACGGGUGAGUAACACGUGUGUAACCUGCCCUUGACUUUGGGAUAUCUUCUGGAAAUUGGGGCUAAUACCGCAUAGUAGCUCCUGCUGCACGGUGUGGGUUGGAAAGUUGCGGCGGUUGGGGAUGGACUCGCGGCUUAUCAGCUUGCUGGUGGGGUAGUGGCUUAGCUAGGCUGUGACGGAUAGCCGGCCUGAGAGGGUGACCGGCGACAUUGCGACUGAGAUUCGGCGCAGACUCCGACGGGAAGCAGCAGUGGUGAGUAGUGCACAGAGGGCGGAAGGCUGAGGCGGCGACGCCGGGUGCGGGAUGAUGGCCUUCGGGUUAUAAACCGCUUGCGCCUGGGAUGAAGCGGUAGUGACGGUAAUGGGUAAAGAAGCACCGGCUAACUACGUG